rnacentral:rRNA from 1 species
CAGUCGAACGGAGAAUGCAGCAAUGUAUUCUUAGUGGCGGACGGGUGAGUAACGCGUGGGCAACCUGCCUUAAACAGGGGGAUAACACUGGGAAACUAGUGCUAAUACCGCAUGACACAGAGAAGUGGCAUCACUAUUCUGUCAAAGGAGUAAUCCGGUUUAAGAUGGGCCCGCGUCCGAUUAGCUAGUUGGUGGUGUAACGGACCACCAAGGCGACGAUCGGUAGCCGAACUGAGAGGUUGAUCGGCCACAUUGGGACUGAGAUACGGUCCAGACUCCUACGGGAGGCAGCAGUGGGGAAUAUUGCACAAUGGAGGAAACUCUGAUGCAGCAACGCCGCGUGAAGGAUGAAGGUCUUCGGAUUGUAAACUUCUUUGAUUGGGGACGAAUAAUGACGGUACCCAAGGAACAAGCCACGGCUAACUACGUGCCAGCAGCCGCGGUAAUACGUAGGUGGCGAGCGUUGUCCGGAAUUACUGGGUGUAAAGGGCGUGUAGGCGGGACUGUAAGUCAGAUGUGAAAUUCCAAGGCUUAACCUUGGCGCUGCAUCUGAAACUAUGGUUCUUGAGUGCUGGAGAGGAAAGCGGAAUUCCUAGUGUAGCGGUGAAAUGCGUAGAUAUUAGGAGGAACACCAGUGGCGAAGGCGGCUUUCUGGACAGUAACUGACGCUGAGGCGCGAAAGCGUGGGGAGCAAACAGGAUUAGAUACCCUGGUAGUCCUCGCUGUAAACGAUGGAUACUAGGUGUAGGAGGUAUCGACCCCUUCUGUGCCGGAGUUAACACAAUAAGUAUCCCACCUGGGGAGUAC